ACAAGUUUAAUAAUCCGAAUAUUAUUCUAACUAUUCCAUUCUCACAUAGUGUUGUUUCUACGCCAAUAAUAUUCUUAAUUCUAUCUCUAUUCAUUGUUUGAUAAUUGUUUUGGACAACUAGCUUUCGCACAACUCGAUUAAAUCCAUAACAAAUAUCAGGGAAAGAAUGAAUGGGGAAGUAUCAAGAUCACUGUCUGUUGAAAAUGCUAAGGAGCUUCUUGACUCUGUUGAUGCAUUUCCUCUUUGAUUGUGAUGGUUUAACAUUGUAUGCAUGUGAUCAUAGAUAUAUCAUGUGGGGUUGGGAAGACUACUGUAAUGAGAGAAGAAAGCUGACACUCAGCGACAUCUGCUUAAAUCUUGAUGACGAAAGAGCUUAAAGCUGAGAAAUGUGUACCUUUGAAUUAUUAUACAUUGGGUUGUGGCCUGUGCGUUUCCAUGUUUUGUUGUGACCGCCUUGAGGUUGUUACGUUGCUUUUGACGUAAAUACACAUUAUAUAGCAUUUUCUAUAUCCACUACUACUGUGGAAUCACAAGCAAAGUUAAUUUUCCAA